rnacentral:rRNA from 1 species
AACGAACGCUGGCGGCAUGCCUAACACAUGCAAGUCGAACGAGACCUUCGGGUCUAGUGGCGCACGGGUGCGUAACGCGUGAGAACCUGCCCUUAGGUUCGGAAUAACUCCCCGAAAGGGGUGCUAAUACCGGAUAAUGUCUUCGGACCAAAGAUUUAUCGCCUUUGGAUGGGCCCGCGUUGGAUUAGCUAGUUGGUAGGGUAAAAGCCUACCAAGGCGACGAUCCAUAGCUGGUCUGAGAGGAUGAUCAGCCACACUGGGACUGAGACACGGCCCAGACUCCUACGGGAGGCAGCAGUGGGGAAUAUUGGACAAUGGGCGAAAGCCUGAUCCAGCAAUGCCGCGUGAGUGAUGAAGGCCUUAGGGUUGUAAAGCUCUUUUACCCGGGAUGAUAAUGACAGUACCGGGAGAAUAAGCGCCGGCUAACUCCGUG